UACGUGAGGGGGCAAGCGUUGUCCGGAUUUAUUGGGCGUAAAGAGCGUGUAGGCGGCUUUACAGGUCCGUUGUUGAAAACUCGAGGCUCAACCUCGAGACGCCGGUGGAAACCGUAAAGCUAGAGUCCGGAAGAGGAGAGUGGAAUUCCUGGUGUAGCGGUGAAAUGCGCAGAUAUCAGGAGGAACACCGGUGGCGAAGGCGGUUCUCUGGGCCUUACCUGACGCUGAGGAGCGAAAGCGUGGGGAGCAAACAGG
rnacentral:rRNA from 1 species